rnacentral:rRNA from 1 species
AGUGAACGCUGGCGGCAGGCCUAACACAUGCAAGUCGAGCGGCAGCGGGCUGUAGCAAUACAGUGCCGGCGAGCGGCGGACGGGUGAGGAAUACAUCGGAAUCUACCUUGUCGUGGGGGAUAACGUAGGGAAACUUACGCUAAUACCGCAUACGAAUUACGGUUGAAAGCGGAGGACCGCAAGGCUUCGCGCGAUUGGAUGAGCCGAUGUCGGAUUAGCUAGUUGGCGGGGUAAUGGCCCACCAAGGCGACGAUCCGUAGCUGGUCUGAGAGGAUGAUCAGCCACACUGGAACUGAGACACGGUCCAGACUCCUACGGGAGGCAGCAGUGGGGAAUAUUGGACAAUGGCGGCAAGCCUGAUCCAGCCAUGCCGCG